rnacentral:rRNA from 1 species
UACGUAGGGACCAAGCGUUGUUCGGAUUUACUGGGCGUAAAGGGCGCGUAGGCGGCCUGACAAGUCACUUGUGAAAUCUCCGAGCUCAACUCGGAAAUGGCAUUGAAUACUAUCCCGCUUGAGGGUCGGAGGGGAGACUGGAAUUCUCGGUGUAGCAGUGAAAUGCGUAGAUAUCGAGAGGAACACCAGUGGCGAAGGCGAGUCUCUGGACGACUCCUGACACUGAGGCACGAAAGCUGGGGGAGCAAACAGG